rnacentral:rRNA from 1 species
AUUGAACGCUGGCGGCAGGCCUAACACAUGCAAGUCGCGCGAGCGGCGGACGGGUGAGUAAUGUAUGGGGACUGCCCGAUAGCGGGGGAUCACUACUGGAAACGGUAGCUAAUACCGCAUACUAUCGGAUAACCCAUAUGGGAUUAGCUAGUAGGUGAGGUAAUGGCUCACCUGGGCGACGAUCCCUAGCUGGUCUGAGAGGAUGAUCAGCCACACUGGGACUGAGAAACGGCCCAGACUCCUACGGAGUCAGCAGUGGGGAAGAUUGCACAAUGGGCGCAAGCCUGCGGCAGCCAUGCCGCGGGUGUGAAGAAGGCCCUAGGGUUGUAAAGUACUUUCAGUCGGGAGGCGUUACCGACAGAGGAAGCACCGGCUAACUCCGUGCCAGCAGCCGCGGUAAUAC